GGUGCAUGCCUAUAAUCCCAGCUACUUGGGAGGCUGAGGCAGGAGAACUGCUCGAACCUGGCAGGUGGAUGCUGCAGUGAGCCAAGAUCGUGCCACUGCACUCCAGCCGGGGUAACAGAGUAAAACUUUGUCAAAAAAAAAAAAAAAAAAAAAAAAAGAAAAUACAGUUUGAAGUAGAUGUCAUCUUUUUCCACAUAUAAAUUUCAAGACAUAAAAGGCACACACAAACAAUUCAACUCCUCUCUUUUCAUAUAUGGGUUCUCACAGCAAUUUAAAAAAUCUAUUGCCAUAUCCAGACAACAGGAAAAAAA